UACGUAGGCAGCGAGCGUUGUUCGGAGUUACUGGGCGUAAAGAGUGCGUAGGCGGUUUUCUAAGUUUGGUGUGAAAUCUCCCGGCUUAACUGGGAGGGUGCGCCGAAAACUGGAAGGCUUGAGUAUGGGAGAGGUAAGCGGAACUCCUGGUGUAGCGGUGAAAUGCGUAGAUAUCAGGAGGAACACCUGCGGUGUAGACGGCUUACUGGACCAUAACUGACGCUGAGGCGCGAAAGCGUGGGGAGCAAACAGG
rnacentral:rRNA from 1 species